CCUACGGGAGGCAGCAGUGGGGAAUAUUGGGCAAUGGACGCAAGUCUGACCCAGCAACGCCGCGUGAAGGAAGAAGGCUUUCGGGUUGUAAACUUCUUUUAAGGGGGAAGAGCAGAAGACGGUACCCCUUGAAUAAGCCACGGCUAACUACGUGCCAGCAGCCGCGGUAAUACGUAGGUGGCAAGCGUUGUCCGGAUUUACUGGGUGUAAAGGGCGUGCAGCCGGGGAGACAAGUCAGAUGUGAAAUCCACGGGCUCAACCCGUGAACUGCAUUUGAAACUGUUUCCCUUGAGUGUCGGAGAGGUAAUCGGAAUGCCUGGUGUAGCGGUGAAAUGCGUAGAUAUAAGGAAGAACACCAGUGGCGAAGGCAGAUUACUGGACGAUAACUGACGGUGAGGCGCGAAAGCGUGGGGAGCAAACAGGAUUAGAUACCCCAGUAGUC
rnacentral:rRNA from 1 species